UUCUUGUGCUAAAUCUACUUGUGUCUAAUCCAUGGACUGUUUUCUGAACCCAUCCUCUGAUUUAACCUUGUUCGUGGGAGAGCCCAGAGGACACUCCUUUUAUCAAAGCAGUCAAGAAUGCACAGGAAGCUCUCCUGCUCUUAGACUGAAAACCUGGCUGCUCUGUGUCUAGACAGUAGAAGUUCUGGAGAUGAACAGUGCUGAUGGUUGCACAACAUUGUGAAGGUACUUACUGCCUCUGAACUGUGCGCCUAAAUACAGGACGUAUCAUCAGUGUGUUUUCUUCAUAAACUUGGAACUGCUACUUUCGUUCCUUUAAGAGAUGGAAAAUGUUAGCUAUAUAACCCAGUUGUUAACAACUUUCUUCUUUGCCGUUAAAUCAGAAUUACUUAUUACCAGAAGACAUCUGAGUUUAUUUUUUACAUGAAACAAAAAUGUUAAUACUUACUUCAAGGAACAUGACAGUAACCACUAGGAAAUAAAUCUUAUAAGAUUUUUAAAAUCCAUCAGGUUUAGUUUAAAGUGAUACAGAUCUAAUAUAAUUAUUAUUUUUUUUUUUUAGUUUUUUAU
rnacentral:lncRNA from 1 species